GGAAGAUGCACGGGGAAGCUACACGCGGUCCUUUAAGCCAGGCUACAGCGCUGGAGGAGUUGGAAAGGAAGACACAGUACAUGUUCCCUGUGUUACUGCAGUGGGGAAAUUUUCCCUUUUCAAGGUAAGCCUCCUGCAUCUACUACAGAAGAAGGAUUUUAGCCUUCGUAUUAAACUCUGAAACCAUUGAAA